CAUGAAACAGACGCCGUUUUUCUUCGCACGCUUUUUUACCUUCCCCUGAAUGGGAGGCGUUUCGUCGUGUAAGAGUAUGUGCGAAGACGAACAGCAAGGCCUCCCAAACCGGGGGGCCUUUUUUUA
rfam:Escherichia vulneris NBRC 102420 DNA, contig: EV10242001.